UUUUUAAAAACAAAACACAAACCAUUCCAGCAACGGUAAAAAAAAAGAAGAAAAAACCCACAAAGCCCCGCUUUUAUACAUCCAUGAGACGGUGGGAAGACAAUAGUUUUAGCCGUUAGUUUCAUUCCAUUGUCCAAUUUGAAUAGAGAGAGACUUCAGGUGAAAUUCCUCGUUAAUCCUCACCUGUGUCGGUUUGGUCUUUGCCCUCUAUUUUGCUCAAUCGGUGUACCUCUGUUGCAAAAAAAUUGCCUUUCAAUUAAUUGUUUUCAAUUCUAGCUGUGAUUUGUAAUCUAAGCCGAGGUCGUGAGAAUCAGACAUGCUCGGGCGCGAAAUCAUUUGUCUGCUCGAAUUAAAGAUAGAUGGUCCUCAGCUAUCCUGCAAUGAGAAGCACCUCAAAGAUUUCUCACGGCAAGGCAGACCCACUACGAUCGUGGUUCUGCAAGGCCUCUGCGGGUCGUAUGAAUAUUCAGCCCACCCGCACCCUUCAAUGAGAAUUUAUUCUGUAUGGACUAUUUUGAAUGUUUCUUUGUGAUCCUACCAGGUACUCAUCAUCUCCAUCCUUAUCUCUUUCUUUUUCUAUCUUUGUUUUAAGACUCCAUAUUUCCCUAACACCCACAACCGGUCGACACCUUGAGCCCCAAAACAGAUCCCAUCAUCUUCAGUUUCUUAAGCCGAAAGUCCAUGGCUCUUCCUCUCUUGCUUUCCUCUUCUUUUUCCCAUCAUGUAGCAGCUGAAAUGGAUGAUAGCAGUUGAAGCAAGGGAUGGCAGAGGAAAUUCAAGUAAUAAGCAAGAGCAGCAGCCUGCACAAUACACACAAACAGCAACCAUGUUUAGCUUUUCUGUGAAUAUCUGCUGUUGUCCAGAAUUUAUAUUAUUCUGUCAUGGUGUCUUCCAACCUCAUCUGUCCUUACAUUUUUACCCUAAUACUUGUUUAGUUGGAUGUGUAACCAAGUGGAGGGAAGGUAGAAACAUGCAUAAUUCGUGCAAUCUACUGCUUGAAGAGGUGAGAUCAUUUUCUGCCUUGUUUUGUUCCAAGCUGUACAGUUUCUACAAAAAAGUCCUGCUAUAGUUUUAACUACACUUCUUCCUCUAUUUGAAUCACUUUUCAAUUAUGUUUAGGCCUCCAUUUUCAUGUGUUAAACUAGUAGAGAUCAGUAUGUAUUUUUUUACCUUCUACUCAAGCUAAUAACUAAGUAAACAACUAAGGAUUUCAUUAGAAUUUUCUGGUUUAUCAAGAACUAUCAUUUGCUGUUUUUAUGCUAUGUCUACCCAUAAAUCAUGCUUAUUUCCAAAUUUUCUUCAACGCUUGUUCAUUGCUUGUGUAGUUGGGAUUAUAGUUGAAGGAUGGGGGUUUUGAAAUAGGUAUAUAACUAACUUAUUGGUUGUACAAGCUAGUGCAGAAAAUUCAUCAACUUUAGCUCUGAUUCGUCUCAAGUUCUAGCCCCUUAGUUUGCCUUUAUCUCAUCUCUUUAGCUCACCCUCAAUAUGUGACAUUAGAAGUACCAAAUGACCUUAAAAUCUCAUACCAAAACCAGCACUAAGUAGCUGGAACUGAGGGGAACAGCAACACACAGCUCCUCUCUUUUCUUUCUAUUGCUC